AAGCCUAUGAGGAAUUAAUUUUAUAAAUAUCUGGAAUUACCGGCUGAAUCAUUACUUGAUGUUAGAUAGACUAUCUGAGGCUUCGU